UGGGGGAAUUUUGGACAAUGGGCGAAAGCCUGAUCCAGCAAUGCCGCGUGUGUGAAGAAGGCCUUCGGGUUGUAAAGCACUUUUGUCCGGAAAGAAAUCCUUGGCUCUAAUACAGUCGGGGGAUGACGGUACCGGAAGAAUAAGCACCGGCUAACUACGUGCCAGCAGCCGCGGUAAUACGUAGGGUGCAAGCGUUAAUCGGAAUUACUGGGCGUAAAGCGUGCGCAGGCGGUUUGCUAAGACCGAUGUGAAAUCCCCGGGCUCAACCUGGGAACUGCAUUGGUGACUGGCAGGCUAGAGUAUGGCAGAGGGGGGUAGAAUUCCACGUGUAGCAGUGAAAUGCGUAGAGAUGUGGAGGAAUACCGAUGGCGAAGGCAGCCCCCUGGGCCAAUACUGACGCUCAUGCACGAAAGCGUGGGGAGCAAACAGGGUUAGAUACCCUGGUAGUCCACGCCCUAAAACGAUGUCAACUAGUUGUUGGGGGAUUCAUUUCCUUAGUAACGUAGCUAACGCGUGAAGUUGACCGCCUGGGGAGUACGGUCGCAAGAUUAAAACUCAAAGGAAUUGACGGGGUCAUAGCUGUUUCCU
rnacentral:rRNA from 1 species